rnacentral:lncRNA from 1 species
UGGACCUGUAGUCAGUGACGGGUAAGAUCCAAUUACAGUGGUAUCAACCUAAGACAGGAGGCUGACGCCUUGAGGUCAGCUCAUCCGAUGAUGGGUAAGGACCAUAUGUAGUAUUGGACAACGUAAGACAGGCAUGGUCCCUAAGCCACAUGCUUGUUGUUUAAUUAAACAGAAAGGGGGAGAUGCUGCGAGCCACAGUUUAGUCGAAUGACGCCUGGCAUUUUGCUAGAGGGAAUGGUUGAAAGGUGACCCUGCUCCUGGAAUAGGGCGGCUCCAGGGAUUAGGGCAGAUCCUGCUGGGAAUAGGGUGGCUCCGGGAUUAGGGCGGAUCCUGCUGCCUCGGGCGCCUCUACUUUGGAGUUCCUGUUGAGUUUUCGCGGGGGUUCGGGGAGAAUUGGUGCGCGGAGCCCGGUGGAGGGAGUGUGUUCCCUGGAAGUAUGUGUAGAGUGCUGGUGAGAGUUUGGGAAUAAAGAGCUGCUGUUUGAAC